GAAGGGAGGGGAGGCUCAGGGAGGUUUGUGAGUACACAUUGCUAUGACAGAGGACUUGAGGGAGCUCUCGGGAGGGUGCUGAGGGCCUCCACCAUGCACGCUUGGUUCCUUCCUGGGUGGGACUCAGGCUUAGGAAGGAUGACCUGAAGAUGGGAAGAACUGGCCUCUGCAGGGACUUAAGCCUGCAGAUCCAGACCAGGAUCCCAGAAAGCACACUCAACACACAUCAGUGGCACAUCCGAUGACAUGACUGCUGGGGCUCAGUGACCAGUGUCCCCUCCAAAUUCACUUCUGCAAGCUUCCUGGCUUAUAAAUCCCAGUCUUGGCAUGGCACCAAGGCUUCAGAACAUGAAAGGAUCCUCCAGCUGAUGAGUCCACUGAGCAGUUUCGGGAUUGAGACCCCAGGACAGACAUUGUUUCAGCCAAGGCCACCUACUGAUGGUUGCAGGGCCCACACCUGCUCAGACAGCAGCAGAAAGGGUGUGGGCCUGGCAACCUCACUUCUCAGUGAACUUGACUUGAGCCUGUGCUUCUGUGAUCUCGUCAGACAUGUUGAAGACUGCCUGCAUUGUCUCAUGGCGUCCUACCAACAUCCUGUGUACAGUCAAGAAGCCAGGGGCUUGUGUACAGAAGCCAGGCAUAUGGAGAAUAAUGUUUCUCUGGAGAAUUUCCAAGGUGAUAAGCAGAGGACCAAAAUUUGAAUGAGGUCCAACCUAAGACCAGCUGCCCCUCCAGCCCUCAUUCUUGCACUGGCCCUAGAAGGAGGGGACAGCCCCUCUCCUCAUGUCUGCUCCAUGGCUGUGAGCAUGUUGCUUCUAGGAAUCAUUUUCCUGGGAGCCCUCCCCUCCUAAGGCUGUACCAGAGUAAGAGGAUGCAACAAGUGUUAGUGUAGAAUUUGUAAAACAUUUCAAUUUGUCAUAUUGCCUAUUUUAUUGUCAUUAAAAAAUAGUGAUGUUGACACCGCUA